CUGCCCUGCACUUUGGGAUAAGCCUGGGAAACUGGGUCUAAUACCGAAUAUGACUCCCGACUGCAUGGUCUGGGGUGGAAAGCUUUUGCGGUGUGGGAUGGGCCCGCGGCCUAUCAGCUUGUUGGUGGGGUGAUGGCCUACCAAGGCGACGACGGGUAGCCGGCCUGAGAGGGUGUCCGGCCACACUGGGACUGAGAUACGGCCCAGACUCCUACGGGAGGCAGCAGUGGGGAAUAUUGCACAAUGGGCGCAAGCCUGAUGCAGCGACGCCGCGUGAGGGAUGACGGCCUUCGGGUUGUAAACCUCUUUCGCCAGGGACGAAGCGCAAGUGACGGUACCUGGAGAAGAAGCACCGGCCAACUACGUGCCAGCAGCCGCGGUAAUACGUAGGGUGCGAGCGUUGUCCGGAAUUACUGGGCGUAAAGAGCUCGUAGGUGGUUUGUCGCGUUGUUCGUGAAAACUCACAGCUUAACUGUGGGCGUGCGGGCGAUACGGGCAGACUGGAGUACUGCAGGGGAGACUGGAAUUCCUGGUGUAGCGGUGGAAUGCGCAGAUAUCAGGAGGAACACCGGUGGCGAAGGCGGGUCUCUGGGCAGUAACUGACGCUGAGGAGCGAAAGCGUGGGGAGCGAACAGGAUUAGAUACCCUGGUAGUCCACGCCGUAAACGGUGGGUACUAGGUGUGGGUUUCCUUCCUUGGGAUCCGUGCCGUAGCUAACGCAUUAAGUACCCCGCCUGGGGAGUACGGCCGCAAGGCUAAAACUCAAAGGAAUUGACGGGGGCCC
rnacentral:rRNA from 1 species